rnacentral:rRNA from 1 species
GAUGAACGCUAGCUAUAGGCUUAACACAUGCAAGUCGAGGGGAAACGGCAUUAUGUGCUUGCACAUUUUGGACGUCGACCGGCGCACGGGUGAGUAUCGCGUAUCCAACCUGCCCUUUACUUGGGGAUACCCCGUUGAAAGACGGCCUAAUACCCGAUGUAAUUCAUUGAUGGCAUCAGAUAUGAAUAAAAGAUUUAUCGGUAAAGGAUGGGGAUGCGUCUGAUUAGCUUGUUGGUGAGGUAACGGCUCACCAAGGCGACGAUCAGUAGGGGUUCUGAGAGGAAGGUCCCCCACAUUGGAACUGAGACACGGUCCAAACUCCUACGGGAGGCAGCAGUGAGGAAUAUUGGUCAAUGGGCGCAAGCCUGAACCAGCCAAGUAGCGUGCAGGAAGACGGCCCUAUGGGUUGUAAACUGCUUUUAUACGAGAAUAAUUUGAUGCACGUGUGCGUUAUUGCAUGUAUCGUAUGAAUAAGGACCGGCUAAUUCCGUG